UCGCCGAACCUCGGGCAGUGCGGACCUCCUCAGGUUGUUCCUCACACCCCGCUGCCUCUCGCCCCUCCCCCUACCAGGUGUAUUAGUGACGUCAGCAAGGCCGCCGUGGAUGAGUGGUAACAGUACUGGUUCCCGCCAAGAGGGACCAGGUUCGACUUCCAGCUUCAAGCCCCGGUAGAUGGCGUUAUUAAAACCUAACCUAACCAUAACCUAACCUUUACCUAAUCUAACCUAACCUAACCAACCGCUCCACAUGGAAGAGUUCUCGACGGUAAUGAUCUGGUAACACUGACGAGACCCAUCUGACGCCAGGCCACCACACUCUCCCUCAGCAGGUCGCGACUGACGGGACCCAUCUGACGCCAGGCCACCACACUCUCCCUCAGCAGGUCGCGACUGA